CGUUCUGCUCCCUGCGAUCACCGCCUUGGCCUCAGGGACAGAAAAAAAAAAAAACUGGCCUCAGGAGGUUAGGAAAGGAAGAGGCUGAGCACGGGUUGGGGAGGUGUGUGUUUGGGGUGGAGGUGGGGGUAGUAGUCAGCUCCUUGUUCACUCCCUCCUGAUUUAACUAAGAGGUCAGGGGGCACCCCUCAAAGUACACCCAGGGUCAGAGAGCCCCAGGGCAAGCCGGACAGCCUGGCCCAUCACAUUCCCUGGGAAGAGGGCUUGAGGGACCCCAACUGCUGAGGCCCCACUCAACUUAAUCUCACACUGGUGGCUCGAGGCGUGGGCCUGGGAAGUGUGGCCUAGGCUGUGGACUCUCAAAAACCAAGUUGGUUCCACAGCGCUGGGCACCUGGCCAUCUCGGAAAGAGGUGGGAGGAAGAUGGGAGAGCUGGGAAAGAGUGGAGGGGUUGGGGAGCAUCUCUCCAUGGGUCCUCCCGCCACCCACCCCCAAUCUCUGUGACUCAGGACCAUCCCACCCACGCGAGCCUGUGGAUGAAGGCCACCGAACGAAAGAGGCGCUCAGCAGGACCCGCCUGAGGAUUUAUGCCGGAUCACUCUAUCCAGCCUGGAAGGAUCUAGAUUCUUCACUAAAAUAAAAACUGGGCAAUAAUCUGAUGGGGGUAGGGAGUGGGGAGGGGAGUUAGAGAGGGAAGCGGGCAACAUGUCUCCAGCCACGUUCUGAGCUGCAAGUUAAAAAUAGAAACCUUUCAUUGAGGUCUGCUGGGGGUAGCGGUGGGCGGAGGAGCUCCAAGUUUCUGUGGAACCAGAGCCACGUUAUCAAACUAUAAUCAAUCAAUUCACCAGGAUUUAUUGAAAUAAAUAAAUAUCUACUUUGGAUCCCGAGGGUCGCUUUCCGGGGCACGUGUCCAUUUAAGUAAAAAAAAAACAAAAACGCAUGCAAGUCUUGGUGGGGUUAUUUUGAGGCCUUUAUUUCUUAGCUCUUGGACAUAGGCCUAGCGAGCCCUUCGGAUUAUUUCGAUGGCAUGAUGUGGGGAGGGCAAGACGUGAGCCCCUAGAGGGUUCUCGGGUCUCCGCAUGUCCUGGUAUGCUACUGGUGCGCUCAUCAGGGACCCACCGUAACACAGCUCCCCAGUCCUGCCGCCCUGGGCGGGCGAAAGGUCGCUUGGCAAGCCCAGGCCUUCCUAGCCACUCCAUGACGCGGGAGAACGAGGAGCACAGGGAAACCCGAACCUCCAGUCCCGCCUGUGAUCUGCCCUUGAUCUCUGAGUUUUGUGAGGAAAAUACACCACUUGAGACUGAAAACAUCCGUCUGAAAAGAGACAAAGGGGGCAGGGGUGGGGAGUAGGAGGAAGAGAGCUGCCAGCAGAAAGGAAAGGGGCCGAGACAGCGUGCGACGGGGUGUGCGGGACCUGGGACCUGUUUCAUUCACUCGCCGGACCUCAGCCCCAGCAGCCUUCCCUUGCUCGCUCCCGGGGCAGAACCCACCCGGUCUCUGCUCCAGGAGUGACCUCCUCCCCGCCUGGGACUUAAGGGGACAUCAGUGAACCGGGAGAUGCUGAUAGCGACGCCAGUUAUCGUUGUAGUCAUUAAUAAUGCAGUGGGAUCACGAUAAUUAAUAAUAAUAAUGACGGGUCUCCCGAGGGGGCUCCAGCUGCCUCCGGAUAAAGCGACUCUCAUGUUAAGGGCAGUUAUUCGGUGGUGGAUGGAGCGGAGCACGAAGGUAGCAAGCGAUCUUGGGCGCUCUGAAGUUCAAGUUGACGGCGGUGACAAGCAGAAAGCGUCCUUAGGCUGCGGCAGUCGGGUGUCCCGGCGGGCAACGAACAACAGAGCAGCUCUGGUUCCCUAAGGGAGGCGAAGACGGGCUUCAGUUUUGUGGUUCUGGAGUCAACGCAAAGGCAGCUUCGAAUUCAGGUCUGUUUAGACGGUGAGAUUAGGGACUGGGGGAAGGGAGAUGCCUGACCCCCCCCCCUCCCCCAAUCCAGGCUCCUCAUUGCGGCUCAAGAGCCCGGGACCUUGGGCCGCCAGCCCCCGCGCACGUUCUAAAUUGAGCAAUUAUGACAUCUCUGCUACUCUUACACUUUUGCCAUGUCCCCUUCUCCCCAUCAUGUCUCCGGGAUUCGAAGGGCCGAAGAGAAAGACGAAGGUUGUGCCACGCCGUCGGGUCGGUGACUUGUUUGGACAAAGCGGUGGGACACAGGGGCCCGGAGAACUGGGAGCCAAUUUGCGGAAAAGCUGCUCCCAUCCGCUUCUCGCAUCCUGGGGUGAUCUAGGGGACGGCUCCCAGGCUGUGAUCUUAGUCCUCACGCCAUCCCCCUUCCCAUUUUUAUAUCCUGCAGAUAACUAGGAUAGCACGCGGAGACCAAAGGGGUCCUUCGGUAGCCCUCCAACAUUCAGAUCUGGAAAGCUUGAGAUCAAGCCAAGGCUGUGAAAUCGUCCUCUUCUUGCUGUUUUUCUUCUUCCCCCAAAUGAGAAGAAAAGCCCUAAGGCCUUGAGCUGAUGAUACUAAACCCCACCACCACCCCACCAUCAUUCCAUCCUUCUUAGAUCUGAGAGCUGUCUCAUAACCAAAAAUUUACACACACACACACACACACACACACACACAGAGAGAGAGAGAGAGAGAGAGAGAGAGAGAGAGAGAGAGAGAGAGAUUAAGACAUUUGGAAUAGACCAUCUCAUUCUUGCACAAGUUAUGACGAAUUUUUAAUCUGAUUCCUUCACCCCCUCCCCAAGGGUGGGGGGUGUUGGAACACCCUAAAGGAUUUUCCUGUUAAUAAUGUGUUCAAUGAAAUCUCCCAAGGAUCAGUAACAUAUGCCAAUUAUUUUAGUAAUUUUCCUUAAUAUUAUUAGGGGUUAUAAAUUUGAUUUUAAUAGGGGGUUGAUUGCUUCAGGAGUUGUCGCUUGGGCAGUUCGCAGGGCCGCUAGGGAGGGCUGGCGUCUGUCACCCUCUGGGAAACACACACACACACACACACACACACACACACAGGGAGCCUCUAGGCUGGAGUCUUUUCCUCCCCCAUUGAAUUGGUAUAUAUUGGCCUACGAGAGGUCAGGGUUGCCUUUCUUUUUCUCCCCAAGCUGCCCUCCAGCCUAGCUUGCCCGGCCCUGCGGCUCAGUCGAGGGCCUCAGUCGAGGGACGGAGGGGAAGGCGAAGCAGCGGUCUCCGCGGCAGUCACCCAUGCUGUCUCCUCCCACAGAGCUGUGCGGCCUCGCUGGGCAAUCUUACCGAGGUGUCGCUGCUGCAGCCCAAAUCUUUUCACCACUGAGGGGGAUAGCCAGGGCCUCUGGUGAGCUACAAGGAUACUCAGGAAGAUGGAGAUAUCUUCAUAGCUCAAGGAAUUAAAAAGAAUUUUCCCCACUCCUACCUUAUUAAAAUUAUUUUCCCUUCUUCCUUAGGGUAUCUUGUUUGAAAGUUCUCUGAUACUCUUGCAGGGGGCUGCAAACCUUAAGAGAAAGCUGAUGGUGCGCGCUCUGUCUCACUUCCACCUGGCUAUUUUAGUCUUUUUAUUUUAUUCGAUUUCCCUGAAUCUUUGAAGAGAUUCUCUUUCAUUUUGGGCCAAUAGUUUCUUGCUUUCCCACCUUCCCUUGAACAUGAACAUUCUGCUUAUUGGUGUGCAGCAGCUGUGCAGAUAAGCAGGGUUUCUUGAGUAAUCGCUGUUAAAAUUUUCCAGAAAAAAACUUUUGGUGGAAAUGGUCCCUUAAACUGUAAUCAUUGGGCCAAGUUCAAAAACAAAGUACUCAGCUCGGUUUUAAACAUGCAAUUAAAAAUAACUGUACCUCAGCUUUUCAGAGGAAAGGAAAGGAAAGGGGGCAGGGAUGAAGGAAAACAAAGAAUAAGGAAAUAUUUAGUGCUCUUAAAUCCAGUCCAAAUAGCUGCAAGAAAGGCAUUCCCUCAGAUAAUGGAGCCAUUAGAAACUCUGAAGGUUCCUGCCGCCAUUCCUCACAGAGGCUUUCCAAAAAUUUAAUUCACUCUCAGCUACAAAACAAAGGACAGAAAAGAAUUUUGAGACUUUCUGCCAAGGGGGCAGUUUGGCCUGGUUUCCAUGCAUAGAUACACCUUCCUCCCCGGAAUUUGAGGUGGUGCCUCCCAUUCAUUCAGGCAGCUGAGCCAUAACCAUGUUGACCCUCAGCUAUCUCCUUCCCAUUUCCUUUAAUAACUUUGCUAGAAAAAAAAUAGUAUGUUCAUGCAGUUUCAACACAUUUUAUUAUAUUUCUGUAUGCAUUACUUUCAAAACAUAUCACAAGAAAUGAUCAAACCACUUAAAACCUUCAAAUAAAAAAUCUGAAACAGUUUAUGCCCACAAUUGUACAUAUUUAUAGUUAAGAAACAUUCUUUAUAAAUAUUGUUUCCUCUGUAGCAAGUUAAUACCAUAAUUUAAUUACAAAUGGAUAAAUAUGGUAACGGGUAUUUACAGAAGGAAGGGUGUUAUUACGGAAAAAGCUAAUGGCACGACGUUUAUUUCCCCCCUCCCCCCACAAUCUUUCAUACAGGAACUAACAAAUUGAACUUGCAAAAGCACUAAAACAUCACAUGUAAACCCAGCUAACAGAAAAAUACAUUCACAAGCGUUGGUGGUGGUGGAGUGUAUGUGUGUGCUGUGGAUCAGUGUGUUGAAGAAACAGAAGGGAGGCUUUGGCACGGCUCGUUUUUUUUCCAGUCUGUACUUGCAUGAAGUUUACAAUCAAGUUGCCUCAUAGAAAGGAACACAAUAUUCAAAUACCACAAUACAAAAUAAACCAUUUUCUUCCACAUUACUUAAAAAGAAACUGGGUAAACUAAAAUGAGAAAAGAAAAA